ensembl:lncRNA
CAAUACAACAAAACAGAGAGCUGAUCUUAUUAUUCAUCUGAGAAAAUCCCUGGAUGUCAGAGAGGUAAAUCAGAGCAGAGUGCUCCCUUAACCUGCUGAAGGACAGGACAUGCUGGUGAUGGGAGACGGUUACUUCUGCAGCUAGACGAGAUGGAAGCAUUUCACAACCAUUAUCUUUAAAUAUUCACAAAUUCAACAUAGAGGAUUAGCAGCAGAAGGAAGUGUUUGCUCAGUACUCCGAAGCAAAAAAGAUUCUCUGAAGAAAAAAUGAAACUUUCAGCACUUGAAUACACAAGACUGUGUAAACAUUCACCAUUGACAGAUGAAGAUUCAAGGAAAUGCAUCCCCUUCAAAUUGGAAAGAACUGUAGAAAGAUAUCUGUGCUUGAGUCCUGCCAUGCAUGAACUCAACCCAGCCUUUAGAGUGCUUCAGAUCAAUCUAAGUGAAAUGCAAAUAUUGCUGGCCAUCAGUCUUCACUGUCAUUUUGAUACACAUAGAAGGAACCACAUGAAACAAAGGUGAUGUGCAUAUGAGCUGUGAAAACCUUCUUGACAAACUGCAUUUAUCCUCCUGAGCUGCCUGAAUUUUUAUCAUCUUACCUUUGUGUCUUGGCUUCAGCUUUGGAAGUUUGGAGAAACUGGGAGGUGCCAUGAUUUUCCCAUGUUUCACGUACAAAAAAGCUCUAUCACAAAUAACUUUCUUAUUGUCAACAGAAUACAAGUGUUGCUUGUAUUGCAAGUGGAACUUGCUCCCCAAUUAAAUUACUUGUUUCUUCAACUUAAACUGGCCUUUACAUGACAUAACAAAAAAACGCAUUAGUUAAGAAGUACAGAAAGUGCAUUGCACAUUGAGAACCUGUAAGAGUGAAGGACAGAGAUUCAGAAUCACACCUAUCAGUCCGGCAUCUCCAGAAAGAUUUCUUUUAAGAAAAAGAAAAUUGAGGGAGUGUUACUGGACUUCUGAAUCUGAUAUCCUUAGUCACCUGCCAAAAUAGUGUCUAAUAGCAGUAUUUAAUUUGGAAAAUAUUGCAGAGAGUAACCAAACAACAAUCUUGAAGAGCAAGUCUUCAUUAUUAUGAAGGUUUUCUACAUAAGGCCACGGUUCCCAAGCUUUUCAUAGCCAAGCUUCCCUUGGGAAAACUGACCACAUUCCAUCUCUGUGCAAUGCUCCGGGCUAGCACAGGUCCGACAUGACUUGUUAGCCUAGGUUUGCUUUUUUGGGUGAAGGAUAUUGAUCAAUAGCAAAAAUGGAAUAGGAAAAGGUAUUGAAACUAUGCUAUCAUGACUACAUUGACUUUUAUUUGUACUUGGUCAAGGUAAAUCUGACACAAAAUGAUUACUGACAAAUGAGAAACCUACAGAUAAAAUAUGGGGAAUUGGAGAAAAAAGGAGAGACAAAAAUAGUAACAAUAUUCUAGAAUAAAGCUUUAUAUUAAUAUAAAUUUUCA